rnacentral:rRNA from 1 species
GAUGAACGCUGGCGGCGUGCUUAACACAUGCAAGUCGAGCGAAGCACUUUACUUGGAUUUCUUCGGAAUGACGAGUUUUGUGACUGAGCGGCGGACGGGUGAGUAACGCGUGGGUAACCUGCCUCAUACAGGGGGAUAACAGUUAGAAAUGACUGCUAAUACCGCAUAAGACCACAGCACCGCAUGGUGCAGGGGUAAAAACUCCGGUGGUAUGAGAUGGACCCGCGUCUGAUUAGCUAGUUGGUGGGGUAACGGCCUACCAAGGCAACGAUCAGUAGCCGGCCUGAGAGGGCGAACGGCCAAAUUGGAACUGAGACACGGCCCAAACUCCUACGGGAGGCAGCAGUGGGGAAUAUUGCACAAUGGGGGAAACCCUGAUGCAGCGACGCCGCGUGAAGGAAGAAGUAUUUCGGUAUGUAAACUUCUAUCAGCAGGGAAGAAAAUAACGGUACCUGACUAAGAAGCCCCGGCUAACUACGUGCCAGCCGCCGCCGUAA